GUGGCGCUAUCAAACUUGAAGUCUAGAUGCAUUCUUAGGGAUUACAGGUAUUCAAGUACAAAGAAGUGAGGCGCAUAGAUUAAGCAGCUUUGUUUUCAUCAGGUGAUGGACUGAGGCCUGGAUCAAUUUAU